rnacentral:ribozyme from 17 species
GCUCCAGGAGGAUCUCCUUGUUGCGCCGCUGCUCCGUGGCCCCGUCGGGAAGGUCUGCGGAGAGGGCGACGAGGGGCGCCUGGAGGCGCGCCGCGGCGCAGAAGGCGGCGUACCAG